UGAGACUACUUCUCUGCUUUUCACAGAGCUUUGCCCUGGGGACUUUCCUUCACAUAUGCAGAUGUGUACACACACACUACAUGCACCUGUACACACACUGGCUAGCCAGGGAAGUUAUGGUGAGAGCUAGCCACUCCACACCAUGGAGUUCUGAAAGCCCUCGGGAUCCAGUGUAUGACAUCCAGAUUUUUCCUUUCAGGUAACCAGCAUUCAGCCUGAGCUCAGGCUCCCUACAACUCCCCAUCACCGCAGUGUGGAUAGCACCAGAGCCCUUCUUAUGUCUUGAAAGGAAAAGCCAAAGGUUAUACCAUGUCUUGCUAACCAGCCAUAUGUUCUUUAUCUCAUUGUAGAAAUGUAUGUGGUAACCCAAAAAUGCACAGUGAACCAGGGGAGGCAUCCUGCAGGCUUGAUGACAUGGGGAAAAAAAAAAAAAAAAAAAAAAAAGCACUAUCAUCUAUAGAAGUGCUUAGGAGUAGCAUAUCUGCGUGCCACAAGAAUGCAUAUGAAUCUUGCUAUGUGUACUUGAGUCAUCUCUCAUCCUAAAGGACAUUGUUUCCUGAUGUCUUCCUUAGAAAAAUAAAAUUCAUUAAGCUAUCUAUCUAAA
rnacentral:lncRNA from 1 species